CAAUAGCGUAUAUUCAAGUUGUUGCAGUUAAAAAGCUCGUAGUUGGAUUUCUGGUAGGAGCGACCGUGCCGAACUUGAUUGUUCGAGUAUUGUGUUGUCUUCAGCCAUCCUCGUGGAGAACUUUUCUAACAUUAACUUGUUGGGAUUGGGACCCGCGUCGUUUACUGUGAAAAAAUUAGAGUGUUUAAAGCAGGCAUUAGCUUGAAUACAUUAGCAUGGAAUAAUAAGAUAGGACUUUGGUACUAUUUUGUUGGUUUGCAUACCAAAUUAAUGAUCAACAGGAACAGUUUGAGGAUAUUCGUAUGAACAUGUCAGAGGUGAAAUUCUUGGAUUUUGAUCAGACGAACUACUGCGAAAGCAUUUAUCAAGGAUGUUUUCAUUAA
rnacentral:rRNA from 1 species